AACAUCAAAGAUAAAAAAAAAAAUAUAUAUAUAAUUAUUUUUUUAUUAUAAUAUAUAACAAAUAUUCAAGAUUUAGGCAAUUGAUAUUUAUAAUUAGGGGCAAAUUUCAAAGGGAUCACACUGUCACAAUACCCUAAGCAACCUUGAUCAACAUAUUCAAAAUUUGAACUGGACAUGAACAUGCAUACAACAAACAAAGAUAUCUUCUAUCAUGAACAGAGUAAUAUGAAUUUUACAAUGGAUUUAGAUCCAAAAGUUCCAACUAAUUCUAUUGACACUGGAUAGUGCAUAUGAUAGCCUUCAGUUGACAUGACUCUUGGAUUUAGGAAGAUUGGUGUUUACACAUAAUUUGGAUAACAUCUUUUGUAUUUGAAAUCAGAAAAUUCAACUUUAAGGACAGUGAGUACAGAGAAACAGAACUAAAGGAUACACAGAUAUGUAACACAACAACCUAUAGAGGACAGAGAAAAUUUUGUUUUAUUAUUAAAUCAUACUUUUUUAAA